AGAUGGUAGUAGAUGUUAUCGAUCUAGAUCUAGUAUGAUUUAGAAUUUAGAUUGACUAGAUCUAGAUCGAUAACAUCUACUACCAU
rnacentral:pre_miRNA from 1 species